rnacentral:rRNA from 1 species
CCCCGUCCCCAGGUCAGGCGUGAAU